rnacentral:rRNA from 1 species
GAUGAACGCUGGCGGCGUGCCUAAUACAUGCAAGUCGAGCGAACUCUUGGUAGCUUGCCCCCAAAAGUUAGCGGCGGACGGGUGAGUAACACGUGGGGAACCUGCCUGUAAGACUGGGAUAACUUCGCGAAACCGGAGCUAAUACCGGACAACAUUGAUAACCACAUGGCCUUCUAUUAAAAAUUGGCUUUUAGCUAACACUUACAGAUGGAACCGCGGCGCAGUAGCUAGUUGGCUAGGUAACGGCUCACCGACGCGCCGAUGCGUAGCCGACCUGAAAGGGUGGUAGGACACACUGGGACGGGGGAGCGGCCCAGCAUCCUAGAGGAGGCAGCAGUAGGGAACCUUUCGCGAUGGACGAAAGGCUGACGGAGCAACGCCGCGGGAGCGACGAAGGCCGUCGGGUCGUGAAGCUCUGUUGUUAGGGAAGAACAAGUAUCGUUCGAAUAGGGCAGUACCUUGACGGUACCUAAGCAGAAAGCCACGGCUAACUACGUG